CAUCAUCCACCCUUGGGUCGCCCGGAGUUGAUCGGAAAGUCAUGAUUUCCGACGGAUGUUCACCCGAGUUCACCCGAUCUUCCAGCUCGAAUUUCUCCUUCGUUUCUCCACCAAAUCAAUCGAGUAAGGCACCAGAGGUUCAGUCGACCUGCAGGAGGGACCUUCGAGGGGUCCAAUUAGCUCGGACCAUCAGCCGUAGAAGUGCGUAGGAUCCACCACCGGGCCAUCCCUAGCUUCCGCGCCACCAAGUGAGGUAGAGUUUUGUGGAAAAGUUCUUGAAACUCUGUGAACUUUAGAAAAUGCUCUGAUAUAUAGUUUUAAUGGAAAACUGGAGUUGGUGAAUACUUGGUUAUUCUAUUAUGGCAGUUGGUGUGGAUUUUUUGAUUGUUUAACAGGUGGAAAAAUUUGGG